CAUUUGUGCUAGUGUUUUUCACUCUUUUCCCAUUCCCACACUCUGAAACCUCUUUCACAACUAUUUAUUUUGGUUCCUCACCCGUGUCUGUGUUUGUCACCAGGAGUCGCAGCCUGGCAUGUACACCCCGAGCCUUCCCUCCCCUGCCUGCCAAGCUCUUCCAAAGCGCUGCGGAAGCAUCCCAGCUAUGUGAGAGGCAUUCUCGGAUUGCCUACUCCAAGCACUUCAGGAGAGGACAGCCUGUUCAGUUUAACAAUUUUCCUAGGGUCUUAAUGCUUCAAAAGCGGCCUCUUACCUUACAGGUGUGAAAGGUUUGUUUUGUAGGGCAGGGAGUCUGUCCGGUGGCACGUAACUACAACUACUACACCGCUUAAAGUCACAGGACACAAAAAUACUGCAUUUUUUGGCAAAAUAUCAGUGACAGAGGGCUUGACCCCUUACCCACUACCGCAACAUACCGCAUCUCAAGCGCCAUGCAGCCCUGCUGGAUGACCCUGGAGUUGAACAACCUUCUUCUUUCUCUAAAGCUGGCUUAUAUAUGUACAUAUAAAUUCCUGACUGCCCUGAAUAACAGAAGUUUGACGUCAAAACAACAGCCUGGAGGACUCCUGAGGUUCUUCAGGGCUACUGUAACAGGUAAGGCCCACCACCAGCAAUAAAAGCAGCCUGAGGAACUGGUGGAGAGCAAGCGAAGGCGCCUGUCGGGUACAAGGACACCUUCUCCCUCCCCAAACUAUUUCGGUGUCAUCCCCACCUCCUGCAAAGCUGUAUGGCUUCAUGGCACAGUGCCCCGAGUUAUUUUCCAAGAAGGGGACCCUCUGGCAAUGCACAGAGUGCUGUAAAACCAACUUUAUUCCAGCACCAAGCCCCCCUGAGACCCACCUCACCCCUAAGAUGUCUCCCCGAGCACCCUCCUCCUGCCCCACCGCCGCUCGGGGCAAAGCCAGAGGGGACAGCUUUGGGACAGCGGGUGCCCAAACACCACACGGAGCCGUGGGGGAAACCAUUCAGACGGCUAUUUUGGGGUAAAAGGGGAAAGGUCCCAAGAUGUAACGAGAAGCUUCAGGCAGACCUUGAAUGCUCUACCCAGUUGUUACGCCUACUGAACCAGAUUAUCUUCCCCAUAUUUAGACUUUUGAGACUGAGGUCUGAAAGAGCACCAAACUGAUUCAAAAACACAAAACUGGUUGCAAAUUUUGAGGAGGAAUCUAGUCUGGUUGAUGCACGGUAGCUUUUUGGACUUUUCAACGUUCAUUUCUCUUGUAGUAAGGAAGUUGUUAGGGCUCUGAUCUAUCUUUUCUUAUCAUGGUUAACCAUAUUAAGAUUAAGAACUCUUAACAGAAAAA